GACCUUGUGGCGGAAUGGAAACGCGGGGGAUUGCAUAUCCUCAGGUCCCUGGCUCGAGUCCAGGGCAAGGUCGCCA
rnacentral:tRNA from 1 species